CCUUCACGAAGUUCAAGGAGGUGAAAGAUGAGAGUGGACAUGACAAAAAGGCACUCGGGAUCGUGGACGUGACAAAAGGACCUCCAGGAAAGUUGACAUGACAAGAAGGCGCUCAUGAGAGGUUCUGGAUGGCAGCUCCAAGGGGAUUAAGACUUUGAUCCUUGUGCUUCGCCCAUCAGGAGGAAAAGGCGAACUGUUACGUGCGGAAUUUCACUUCAAUCUGGUGGGACAAACUCGGACUGUGACAGAAAGUGAAUGAAAACACUGGCGUCAGCGCUUGUGCUACUUUUCCGCUACUUUUUUUUUUUUAACUUAGUCGUACACAGAGAAACAUAUGCCUUUUCGUAUGUGGUAUUCCUUCGAGACAAAUGUCAAGCAUGAAUAAUGGGAUAUAAAAAGUGCUGUCACUAUGGAAACCAGCAACGUGUUGUCCUUGGAAGUUCAUUCAAGCUCAGUUUGUGAU